GAGCUAAUACCGUAUGAUGUCUUCGGACCAAAGAUUUAUCGCCCUGAGAUGAGCCCGCGUAGGAUUAGCUAGUUGGUGGGGUAAAGGCCUACCAAGGCGACGAUCCUUAGCUGGUCUGAGAGGAUGAUCAGCCACACUGGGACUGAGACACGGCCCAGACUCCUACGGGAGGCAGCAGUGGGGAAUAUUGGACAAUGGGCGAAAGCCUGAUCCAGCAAUGCCGCGUGAGUGAUGAAGGCCUUAGGGUUGUAAAGCUCUUUUACCCGGGAAGAUAAUGACUGUACCGGGAGAAUAAGCCCCGGCUAACUCCGUGCCAGCAGCCGCGGUAAUACGGAGGGGGCUAGCGUUGUUCGGAAUUACUGGGCGUAAAGCGCACGUAGGCGGCUUGGUAAGUUAGAGGUGAAAGCCUGGAGCUCAACUCCAGAAUUGCCUUUAAGACUGCCGAGCUAGCAGGUGAGAGAGGUAAGUGGAAUUCCGAGUGUAGAGGUGAAAUUCGUAGAUAUUCGGAAGAACACCAGUGGCGAAGGCGGC
rnacentral:rRNA from 1 species